UACGAAGGGGGCUAGCGUUGCUCGGAAUCACUGGGCGUAAAGCGCACGUAGGCGGGUCGUUAAGUCAGGGGUGAAAUCCUGGAGCUCAACUCCAGAACUGCCGUUGAUACUGGCGAUCUCGAGUUCGGGAGAGGUGAGUGGAACUGCGAGUGUAGAGGUGAAAUUCGUAGAUAUUCGCAAGAACACCAGUGGCGAAGGCGGCUCACUGGCCCGAUACUGACGCUGAGGUGCGAAAGCGUGGGGAGCAAACAGG
rnacentral:rRNA from 1 species